rnacentral:rRNA from 1 species
ACGGGGGGGACGAGCGUUGUUCGGAUUUACUGGGCGUAAAGGGCGCGUAGGCGGACCUCUAAGUCGGGUGUGAAAACUGUUGGCUUAACUGACAGCCUGCACUCGAUACUGGAGGCCUUGAGUACGGAAGAGGAGAGUGGAAUUCCAGGUGUAGCGGUGGAAUGCGUAGAUAUCUGGAAGAACACCAGUAGCGAAGGCGGCUCUCUGGUCCGAUACUGACGCUCAAGCGCGAAGGCUUGGGGAGCAAACAG